CUCUUCCCCCCUCCUCCCAUUCCUAGUCUCCCUCCUGGCUCCUCCCUUUCCUUCCUUCUACUCCCCCUUCUCCUUCCAGCCCUCCCCUCCUCCCUUCCAGCCUCCUCUCCCUCCCCCAUCCACUCUUCCUUCUUCCUUCUCCCUGCUCCCCUCUCCUCUGCUUCCUCCGUUUCUCCUUCCCCCUCCUCCCCUCCCCUCGGUGCUAACAGCUGUAAUUGCUGUUUCUCCCACCUCCCUAACAAGCACGGGACCCUCCGAGCAGAGCCGCCCGCAGUUCCGCUCAGUAAUCGCCUCCAUGGAGUUUGGUCAAGGACUUUCAACUUCAGGAAGGAGCUCAACGCAGCCAGCACCUUGAUCGGCACCGUGGGAGAAGGUGGAAAGAGGACCCAGUCAAGCCACUCCUGAGCCACGGAAGCCGGGAGACAGUGCCUGCGUGUUGCUGUAAGCUGCCACAGGAAACCAGGAAACUUAUCAAGCACCCGCUUUCCAGAUGGGGAAAUCAAGGACCGGAGUUUCAAGGGAAUUCUCCUAGAGAACCCAGAGGGGAAUGGAGAGCAGCCCGCCCAGGGAGAUGGCCGGGGCGGCGGUCAGGGGGUCCGUGCAUGUCCGGGAGGAAGGUCCUGGCCGCCCCUGCCCCCACCCAGCCGUACCCUCGCCCCCCGCCGCUGGAACCGUGCGUCCCCAAGAUAAGAGACGGG
rnacentral:lncRNA from 1 species